AGAGUUUGAUCCUGGCUCAGGACGAACGCUGGCGGCGUGCUUAACACAUGCAAGUGGAGCGACGAACCGGGCUUCGGCCCGGGGCAGAGCCGCGAACGGGUGAGUAACACGUGGGUUACCUGCCCCGUUGACAGGGACAACCCGGGGAAACCCGGGCUAAUACCUGAUGUGCCCUUCGGGGGAAAGGAAGCUUCGGCCUCCGCAACGGGAUGGGCCCGCGGCGCAUUAGCUUGUUGGUGGGGUAACGGCCUACCAAGGCGACGAUGCGUAGCUGGUCUGAGAGGACGAUCAGCCACACUGGGACUGAGACACGGCCCAAACUCCUACGGGAGGCAGCAGUGGGGAAUAUUGGACAAUGGGCGCAAGCCUGAUCCAGCCAUACCGCGUGAGUGAUGAAGGCCUUAGGGUUGUAAAGCUCUUUCGGCGGGGACGAUAAUGACGGUACCCGCAGAAGAAGCCCCGGCUAACUUCGUGCCAGCAGCCGCGGUAAUACGAAGGGGGCUAGCGUUGUUCGGAAUCACUGGGCGUAAAGGGCGCGUAGGCGGCCUGAUAAGUCGGGGGUGAAAGCCUGUGGCUCAACCACAGAAUUGCCUUCGAUACUGUCGGGCUUGAGACCGGAAGAGGUAAGUGGAACUGCGAGUGUAGAGGUGAAAUUCGUAGAUAUUCGCAAGAACACCAGUGGCGAAGGCGGCUUACUGGUCCGGUUCUGACGCUGAGGCGCGAAAGCGUGGGGAGCAAACAGGAUUAGAUACCCCUGUAGUCC
rnacentral:rRNA from 2 species